AUUAGUGUGAACCACGACAAUGUCGAAGAAGGCUCAGCGAUUGACCAUGACGUGAUCGUUUCAGAACAGAACGUCAUGUUGACCGAACAGCUGCAUUCCUUAAGUGCUAUGCUUCACCGUCCUAGCGAGUUGUGGUCGAUGCAGAAGUUCGAGCAAACGAAUGCAUUAUGCUACCAGACCGCUAAAUUGGACAGAGAUUUAACACCUCCUGUUAUUCACAACAAGAUAGUGUUGUUUGAAGCUGAGGAAGGAGCAGCUGCUCAGUGCAGCAUCUUUCUGAACGGGUUCCUAUUCAAAAAAAGUGGCUGUCAGACAGUGAGCCAAGCACAGGAUCUUCUCAAGUAUGCAGACACAUUGACACCCUGCGUAGGAAUUGGGACAAUGGAAGAGUUCCAACCACUGAAUUUGGAAAGCAAGGCGAAGCUAUCUCAAAAUCGUGUCUUCUCCCUUUCUUGCGAUGGUUCCUCAUCGAUUUCGCUACAAGGUAUUAUGAGAUAUCGCAGUUGCGCAAACCCUGCCUAAAAUAUUUUAUUUGAGCCUGUAGAUACCUGUCCCUGCUUUGGUUAGACUUAUCCACCGAUUAUGGUACACUUUACAGAUGGCUCAUCUGGACGUUGUACUGCCUGCAGAAAAUGCAGAAACCUUCUGAAGGCUCGUCUGCUCCGUCUAAAAAAAAAAAGACUAAGCGGCCACUUGCAAGAACAGCUGCACAACGACUGAAAUGGGCUGUUCGUACGUUGAAGAAAAAGAAAAUGAAGCUGCUUACCUUGCAGGAUGCCCUGAAGAAGAUGCGAGAAAAGACUUCACAAAUCAUUGCAUCUGUGUUAGAGGAAAAGCUGAAACUUCUUC